AGUACAUCACCUGCCAGCCGCACUCUUUUUGCAGCUCAGAGAGCCACUGGGAACAAAGCAGCAGCAUGGAUGGAUGCGGCUGUGUGUGCCAGUGCUGCCAGAGCAGCUGAGGAGAGUCUCAGAGAGACAGGAGUACCGAGGACACAGUCGGAGCAGCAAAGACUAACUAUGUUUGGGAUACCUUAUGCUGGCUGAAGAUCUAGCGUUACUCACUUAAACAAGAAUUAUACUUUGCUGGUCACAAUCAAGAUUUACUUCUCUUUUUUUCCGAGGAACAUAUGACAAGAUUUACCACCUUUGUAUUUGCAAAUGACACAGCCUGGGUAGCUCCAGAGAAGUGGGAACCCGGCUCACUGAGAGUACCUGAUCCUUUAGUGUACUUCAGCAUAUGAAGCAAUAAGCAAAUCCCUGAAAAAAGGAUUCUGAGUAAAGCUUUGGUGCAUAGCUGUGAAAAGUUGCUUCUUGUUGGGUUAGAGUGAAGACUUGGCACCCAAGACACAGGAGAUGUGGGAGCCUCAAGAAAGUGUAUUGAAGGAUCAAACAACUGCAUCUUUAUCCAAGACAAGGGCAUUACUGGUGUACUCUCCAGCUCUGUGGCACCUUCUGGCUGGGAACACCCUUUGCAUGCUCCCUUUCCCUGGAGCUGGGGUUGAGGCACUUGGACUGACUCCUGAGCCCUACUAGCAGGCCUGGGCUGAAAUUGUGCCAGGGACCUUUCUAACAUUUUAAUAGCCUGACUAUGUCCCAGCACCCUAGUCCAUGGGACUGACACUGUAAUUUACUAGUAUAGUCACAUUUGAUCAAUCUAGAGAGUUGCUCUAAAAUUUCCCACCUAAGCAUGCUUUUCUCCAGGCUGUUAGUGCUAUUAAGUCAUAUUUUAGGAUUGUUGGUAACAUUGUCCAAUCCAGUGUUAUAACAGGAUGACACUGUACCGUAUCAUGGGCGUACAUACAGUCAGCUAUUGUUAUUUAGCAUAGUGGGAAGGAAAAUUUUACCUAGGCAUUGGUAAAUCUUGUAUGGGUAACAUGGAAUGGAGUGGAAAAUCAUCUAGAUAUGUGUAUUCAGCUCAGAUCAGACAGGUCAGUUGCAGCCCUGCCAAAUCCAGGUAGAUUACUGUAAUGUAAUUUUUUACAGCAUUGCAUUCACUUGUCCUUUAGGUUACAUGGAAGCUUUUUAACUUGCUAUAUAGCUGCUCUAUAUAUUUGUGACAAGUAGUCAUGUUAAGUGCAUUUUUUUGAAGCUCGGACUCUGGAAACACUAAUUUCAUUGUGAAACUCAAAGGGAGGCUUGCAGAACUUUGCACUUCACCCACAUGUCAUGAAUUCUUUCUCAUCAAAAAGGUAUGGGAGAAUUGUCUUCUCUUCACAGAAAAUUGUAGUAGAGUUCUGUCUUCUGUACCACGUGCCAGACAGUGAACUUAUCUUUGCCGGUAAUGAGGGGAGAGGGGGUAGAUCUGGAAAUGCCAUCUGGUGGUCUUGAACAUUUUAGGUUGAUUUUGGUUUGUUUUUUUCUUAUUCAGGUUUACCCUGAUAAAAUUCUCUGGCAUCUUCCUGAUCUACCUCUCUGCCAAACAUUAAUUGGUACCUGUUCCUGUACAUUUUAAUACUCUCUCCCACAGCUAUUAUGAUUAGCCUCAAGCAUCCUUCCAAGUUUCCAGCCCUUGCUCUAAGACUUUGAAAUUCCUUCAGAAAUCUGACUGGGACCUUUCUUCUGAGGCUGUGUGACCUGGUUGGCUCCCUUACUGUUGAAUAUCCCACUUGUAAGGUCAUGGAUUGCUAUAUGGUCCUGCAGGUCUGGAAAUGAGCUCACUGAGAGCCCAGUGUUCACAUAACCUUCUGUUCUUCAGAAAAGCUGUAUCUCUCUGGUCUGUGGGAAGUAACCCUGUGUGACUUAUAAACAACUGUCUCAUGCAAAAUGGUCUGUGGCCAAAUCUAUGUACAUGUUUUCCAGUCUUCAGGAAGAAUGUGUCAUCAAUUAUUUCUCCCUCUCCAAUGACAUGUAGAGAAGACCACUAGUUUUAAACUUUAUCAGUCUUGAAGUUGAUGCCAAGUGUAUUGCCAAACUGUUUACUGCCCUUCCAAAGCAUAGCCUCUUCCUAUACAUUUUAGGUUGCAGUCUUAAACAAAAACUGCAAUAAUGAGAAUGUGUAUACAAGUUGUUUAUCCAUAUUUUAAUACAUUUUAUUUGCAGAAGUCAUGAGAUUACUGUAUGAUGAGUUUGGAGACUGAGCAUUAUCUCUUAGAAGAUUGUGCCUGGUGAAGCAUGUGGACCUGAGCCGACAAUCUGAGGUUCAGGCAAUGCUAUGACAGUAAAUAUACUUUGCUGGUUGUCAGUGAUUCACUCCCCAAAUAUGAAGCACGAUAAACUGAGGAAGAAUAAGUAAAACACCUCUCCAGUGGAAACCACAUUUAAGAAGAGACAUCUCAGCAUCAGCUUUGAAUAUUUGACAUACAGAAGUUGGGCAGGGUGAUAUCUCAGACAUCCAUGCUGGAUUUAGCCUUUUCGAUGGAGCAGAAGCAUUUAUAGUAUGACCAUUUCCCAGUGUUUCCAUGGAACAUCAUAUCUCUCAAGAGCCUUGAGUGAAAAAACUUGGCCUUCAUCUGCAACCUCAUCCUCAUGUUUUAUUCCUCCGGCACUGAGACAGGCUGACACGCUAACGCAGGUGUGAGCAGCUUAUUAUUGCAGUAGUGGUGCUCAUUGGCAUCAUUUAAAAGGAGAGUCACUAAUGUCAUCACCAAGGACUUGUUUAUGCUUAAAAACUGAUGGAGGUGAAUUAGAUUUACUUAAAGCCAGUCUAUUUACAUCACUAUGAAACUUUGUUUAAGCACCAUUCAGAGUGACUGAAUUUACCUAACUUGUGAUAUCAUGAAUUCUUUCUCAUCAAAAAGGUAUGGGAGAAUUGUCUUCUCUUCACAGAAAAUUGUAGUAGAGUUCUGUCUUCUGUACCACGUGCCAGACAGUGAACUUAUCUUUGCCGGUAAUGUUAUAAUAAUAAAUAAGGUUGAAUGCUGAUUUAGUGUUACUGG